AGACGGAGGGUCCUAGCGUUGUUCGGAAUAACUGGGCGUAAAGCGCACGUAGGCGGAUUGGAAAGUUGGGGGUGAAAUCCCAGGGCUCAACCCUGGAACUGCCUCCAAAACUAACAGUCUAGAGUUCGAGAGAGGUGAGUGGAAUUCCAAGUGUAGAGGUGAAAUUCGUAGAUAUUUGGAGGAACACCAGUGGCGAAGGCGGCUCACUGGCUCGAUACUGACGCUGAGGUGCGAAAGCGUGGGGAGCAAACAGGAUUAGAUACCCUAGUAGUCC
rnacentral:rRNA from 1 species